rnacentral:rRNA from 1 species
UAGGGAAUCUUCGGCAAUGGACGAAAGUCUGACCGAGCAACGCCGCGUGAGUGAAGAAGGUUUUCGGAUCGUAAAACUCUGUUGUUAGAGAAGAACAAGGACGUUAGUAACUGAACGUCCCCUGACGGUAUCUAACCAGAAAGCCACGGCUAACUACGUGCCAGCAGCCGCGGUAAUACGUAGGUGGCAAGCGUUGUCCGGAUUUAUUGGGCGUAAAGCGAGCGCAGGCGGUUUCUUAAGUCUGAUGUGAAAGCCCCCGGCUCAACCGGGGAGGGUCAUUGGAAACUGGGAGUCUUGAGUGCAGAAGAGGAGAGUGGAAUUCCAUUUGUAGCGGUGAAAUGCGUAGAUAUAUGGAGGAACACCAGUGGCGAAGGCGGCUCUCUGGUCUGUAACUGACGCUGAGGCUCGAAAGCGUGGGGAGCAAACAGG